rnacentral:rRNA from 1 species
ACGAACGCUGGCGGCGUGCUUAACACAUGCACGUCGAACGGAAAGGCCCUGCUUUUGUGGGGUGCUCGAGUGGCGAACGGGUGAGUAACACGUUAGUAACCUGCCCUUGACUUUGGGAUAACUUCAGGAAACUGGGGCUAAUACCGGAUAGGAGCUCCUGCUGCAUGGUGGGGGUUGGAAAGUUUCGGCGGUUGGGGAUGGACUCGCGGCUUAUCAGCUUGUUGGUGGGGUAGUGGCUUACCAAGGCUUUGACGGGUAGCCGGCCUGAGAGGGUGACCGGCCACAUUGGGACUGAGAUACGGCCCAGACUCCUACGGGAGGCAGCAGUGGGGAAUAUUGCACAAUGGGCGGAAGCCUGAUGCAGCAACGCCGCGUGCGGGAUGACGGCCUUCGGGUUGUAAACCGCUUUCGCCUGUGACGAAGCGUGAGUGACGGUAAUGGGUAAAGAAGCACCGGCUAACUACGUG